GUGGGGAAUCUUGCGCAAUGGGCGAAAGCCUGACGCAGCCAUGCCGCGUGAAUGAUGAAGGUCUUAGGAUUGUAAAAUUCUUUCACCGGGGGCGAUAAUGACGGUACCCGGAGAAGAAGCCCCGGCUAACUUCGUGCCAGCAGCCGCGGUAAUACGAAGGGGGCUAGCGUUGCUCGGAAUUACUGGGCGUAAAGGGCGCGUAGGCGGACAGUUUAGUCAGAGGUGAAAGCCCAGGGCUCAACCUUGGAAUUGCCUUUGAUACUGGCUGUCUUGAGUACGGGAGAGGUGAGUGGAACUCCGAGUGUAGAGGUGAAAUUCGUAGAUAUUCGGAAGAACACCAGUGGCGAAGGCGACUCACUGGCCCGUUACUGACGCUGAGGCGCGAAAGCGUGGGGAGCAAACAGGAUUAGAUACCCUAGUAGUCC
rnacentral:rRNA from 1 species